AACGCUGGCGGCAUGCCUAAUACAUGCAAGUCGAGCGAGCUGAAUUCAAAGAUCCCUUCGGGGUGAUUUGUUGGACGCUAGCGGCGGAUGGGUGAGUAACACGUGGGCAAUCUGCCCUAAAGACUGGGAUACCACUUGGAAACAGGUGCUAAUACCGGAUAACAACAUGAAUCGCAUGAUUCAAGUUUGAAAGGCGGCGCAAGCUGUCACUUUAGGAUGAGCCCGCGGAGCAUUAGCUAGUUGGUGGGGUAAAGGCCUACCAAGGCAAUGAUGCGUAGCCGAGUUGAGAGACUGAUCGGCCACAUUGGGACUGAGACACGGCCCAAACUCCUACGGGAGGCAGCAGUAGGGAAUCUUCCACAAUGGACGCAAGUCUGAUGGAGCAACGCCGCGUGAGUGAAGAAGGUCUUCGGAUCGUAAAGCUCUGUUGUUGGUGAAGAAGGAUAGAGGCAGUAACUGGUCUUUAUUUGACGGUAAUCAACCAGAAAGUCACGGCUAACUA
rnacentral:rRNA from 1 species